GCCUACGGGGGGAGCAGUAGGGAAUAUUGCUCAAUGGGGGAAACCCUGAAGCAGCAACGCCGCGUGGAGGAUGAAGGUUUUCGGAUUGUAAACUCCUUUUGUUAGAGAAGAUAAUGACGGUAUCUAACGAAUAAGCACCGGCUAACUCCGUGCCAGCAGCCGCGGUAAUACGGAGGGUGCAAGCGUUACUCGGAAUCACUGGGCGUAAAGAGCGCGUAGGCGGGAUAGCAAGUCAGAUGUGAAAUCCUAUGGCUUAACCAUAGAACUGCAUUUGAAACUGUUAUUCUAGAGUAUGGGAGAGGUAG
rnacentral:rRNA from 1 species